rnacentral:rRNA from 1 species
UACGUAGGGGGCGAGCGUUGUCCGGAUUCAUUGGGCGUAAAGCGCUUUAAGGCGGUUCGGUAAGUCGGGUGUGAAACCUCCAGGCUCAACCUGGAGACGCCACUCGAUACUGCUGUGACUAGAGUUCGGUAGGGGAUCACGGAAUUCCUGGUGUAGCGGUGAAAUGCGUAGAUAUCAGGAAGAACACCCGUGGCGAAGGCGGCUCUCUGGACCGUAACUGACGCUGAGACACGAAAGCGUGGGGAGCAAACAGG